rnacentral:rRNA from 1 species
GAGCAAAUCUCAAAAAAACAAUCUCAGUUCAGACUGCAGGCUGCAACUCGCCUGCACGAAGUCGGAAUUGCUAGUAAUCGUAGGUCAGCAUACUACGGUGAAUACGUUCCCGGGCCUUGUACACACCGCCCGUCAAACCAUGAGAGUUGGCAACACCCGAAGUCGGUAGUCUAACCGCAAGGAGGACGUCGCCGAAGGUGGGGUUGAUGAUUAGGGUUAAGUCGUAACAAGGUAGC